rnacentral:rRNA from 1 species
UACGUAGGUGGCAAGCGUUGUCCGGAUUUACUGGGCGUAAAGAGCGCGCAGGCGGUCGUUCAAGUCGCGUGUGAAAGCCCCCGGCUCAACUGGGGAGGGUCACGCGAUACUGAUCGACUCGAAGGCAGGAGAGGGUAGUGGAAUUCCCGGUGUAGUGGUGAAAUGCGUAGAUAUCGGGAGGAACACCAGUAGCGAAGGCGGCUCGCUGGGCCGUUCCUGACGCUGAGACGCGAAAGCUAGGGGAGCGAACAGG